UAUUUUUAGUAGAGACGGGGUUUUUCCGUGUUGGCCAGGCUGUUCUCAAACUCCUGACCUCAGGUGAUCUGCUCGCCUCGGCCUUCCAAAGUGCUGGGGUUACAGGCAUGAGCCACCGCCCCUGGCCUAACACUUGACUUUUAAGGGGCCAAUAUCACUGUGAUUCUAAAAUUUAAGGAGAUGUUAAUGCCGGCCUCUGCAACUACACUUGGAAGAUCCUUCCCAGCAACUGACAACUUGGCCCCUCCACCCCUCCUUCCAGACCUUCCGUGGACACCCUUAAUCACUGCAAGAGCAGCCUGUGCCGUGCUUGGUGAGAUGGUAAACGUAUUUAUCUGAAGCUGGAAGAACACUUUCAGACAUAAUGGGAGCAUUCCCUCAUGGAGCAUGAGGGUGGCCUAAAUGACCUUGUAAGUGAUUGUUGACACGAGGAGUCUGUGACCCAGAAUAUGGUUUUAUAAAUUUCCCACCGCAGGGCACUGAUGAACGACACCCAGCAAAACCUGGACACGUGAUCUCCAAAACAUGGGAAAUUUACGCUUGGAGUGAUUUAUGCCCAGGAAAAUUAGGACUAGCAAUCAUUUGAUGCUGGUUCUUGGAGGACCUUAAAGGAUUUAAACACUGAAAAAUGAAUGCAUCAUACAGGUCACUGCCUCAAUAUAUUACAGCCCUGAAAAUUACACUGGGAUGUUCUGUUUUUGAAGUCUCAUGAGGGCAGAGGGCAUCCCUGGCUUUGCCCACUAUCAAAUUCACUGCACCUAGCAAAAUGUCUGGCAUGUAAUAAGCAUUCAAUAAACAUUUGUUGGAGGACUGGAUAGUGAAAUUUGGCAUGGUAAACCAAAACUAUUCAGAUUAUAAUAUUUUAAACUUUCCACUAUUGAUUAUCUAUCUUUUGUCUGUCUGUCCAUCCAUCCAUCCAUCCAUCCAUCCAUCCAUCCAUCC
rnacentral:lncRNA from 1 species